GAUGAACGCUGGCGGCGUGCCUAAUACAUGCAAGUAGAACGCUGAAGGAAGGAGCUUGCUCUUUCCGGAUGAGUUGCGAACGGGUGAGUAACGCGUAGGUAACCUGCCUGGUAGCGGGGGAUAACUAUUGGAAACGAUAGCUAAUACCGCAUAACAGUAGAUGUUGCAUGAUAUCUACUUAAAAGGUGCAAUUGCACCACUACCAGAUGGACCUGCGUUGUAUUAGCUAGUUGGUGAGGUAACGGCUCACCAAGGCGACGAUACAUAGCCGACCUGAGAGGGUGAUCGGCCACACUGGGACUGAGACACGGCCCAGACUCCUACGGGAGGCAGCAGUAGGGAAUCUUCGGCAAUGGACGGAAGUCUGACCGAGCAACGCCGCGUGAGUGAAGAAGGUUUUCGGAUCGUAAAGCUCUGUUUUAAGAGAAGAACGAGUGUGAGAGUGGAAAGUUCACACUGUGACGGUAUCUUACCAGAAAGGGACGGCUAACUACGUG
rnacentral:rRNA from 1 species